rnacentral:rRNA from 1 species
GGGAGCUUGCUCCCUGAUGUUAGCGGCGGACGGGUGAGUAACACGUGGGUAACCUGCCUGUAAGACUGGGAUAACUCCGGGAAACCGGGGCUAAUACCGGAUGGUUGUUUGAACCGCAUGGUUCAAACAUAAAAGGUGGCUUCGGCUACCACUUACAGAUGGACCCGCGGCGCAUUAGCUAGUUGGUGAGGUAANGGCUCACCAAGGCAACGAUGCGUAGCCGACCUGAGAGGGUGAUCGGCCACACUGGGACUGAGACACGGCCCAGACUCCUACGGGAGGCAGCAGUAGGGAAUCUUCCGCAAUGGACGAAAGUCUGACGGAGCAACGCCGCGUGAGUGAUGAAGGUUUUCGGAUCGUAAAGCUCUGUUGUUAGGGAAGAACAAGUACCGUUCGAAUAGGGCGGUACCUUGACGGUACCUAACCAGAAAGCCACGGCUAACUACGUGCCAGCAGCCGCGGUAAUACGUAGGUGGCAAGCGUUGUCCGGAAUUAUUGGGCGUAAAGGGCUCGCAGGCGGUUUCUUAAGUCUGAUGUGAAAGCCCCCGGCUCAACCGGGGAGGGUCAUUGGAAACUGGGGAACUUGAGUGCAGAAGAGGAGAGUGGAAUUCCACGUGUAGCGGUGAAAUGCGUAGAGAUGUGGAGGAACACCAGUGGCGAAGGCGACUCUCUGGUCUGUAACUGACGCUGAGCAAUU